UACGAAGGGGGCUAGCGUUGCUCGGAUUGACUGGGCGUAAAGGGCGCGUAGGCGGAUAGUACAGUCAGGCGUGAAAUUCCUGGGCUCAACCUGGGGGGCUGCGUUAUACGUAUUGUCUGGAGUUCGGAAGAGGGUCGUGGAAUUCCCAGUGUAGAGGUGAAAUUCGUAGAUAUUAGGAAGAACACCAGUGGCGAAGGCGGCUCACUGGUCCGGUACUGACGCUGAGGUGCGAAAGCGUGGGGAGCAAACAGGG
rnacentral:rRNA from 1 species